GACUUCCCAGAGCCUGCCUGGAGCGCGCACUCAGCGGCUCUCGGGUCCCAGCGUCCCAGCCGCCGCCCGCGCUUCUCCGCCCCGCUCCUCCUCCUCCUCCUCCUCCUCCUCCUCCUCCUCCUCCUCCUCUCUAGGCACCCCCGUCCCCUCCUUCCAGAGGCUGCAGCCCCCAGCCCCAACUCUCUGCGCUUACUCCUGGGACGCGCGUCCUCGCCCCAUCCUUUGCUUCCUUCCUUCCUUCUUCCUUCCUCCCCUGGAUCCCGCCCUCCCUAUCCAGAUCGCCCUCCCGGGGCCCGAUUGUCUCGGUGCCCCGCUCCCGGCCCGCGCCCUGCCCCGUCUCUCCCUCGCACUUCCUGAGUCGCCCGCCGCUGCCGUCGCAGUCUCUCCGCGGGAGCCCCAGCCCAGCCCGAGCCCGAGCCCGAGCCCGACAGCCACUGCCCCGGCUCUAGCUCCAGCCCCGCAGCCCGCGGCGCCCGCCCGAGGGAGCCCCGGCGCCCGGGGAAGGCUACAGUGGGCGAGCGCGCCCUCGCCCAGCCCCGCUCCCCAGCCCUGCCCGGCCCGGCGAGGAAGGACCGGGAAGAUGAACAACGGCGGCAAAGCCGAGAAGGAGAACACCCCGAGCGAGGCCAACCUUCAGGAGGAAGAGGUCCGGACCCUAUUUGUUAGUGGCCUUCCUCUGGAUAUCAAACCUCGGGAGCUCUAUCUGCUUUUCAGACCAUUUAAGGGCUAUGAGGGUUCUCUUAUAAAGCUCACAUCUAAACAGCCUGUAGGUUUUGUCAGUUUUGACAGUCGCUCAGAAGCAGAAGCUGCAAAGAAUGCUUUGAAUGGCAUCCGCUUCGAUCCUGAAAUUCCGCAAACACUACGACUAGAGUUUGCUAAGGCAAACACGAAGAUGGCCAAGAACAAACUCGUAGGGACUCCAAACCCCAGUACUCCUCUGCCCAACACUGUACUUCAGUUCAUUGCCAGAGAGCCAUAUGAGCUCACAGUGCCUGCACUUUACCCCAGUAGCCCUGAAGUGUGGGCCCCGUACCCUCUGUACCCAGCGGAGUUAGCGCCUGCUCUACCUCCUCCUGCUUUCACCUAUCCCGCUUCACUGCAUGCCCAGAUGCGCUGGCUCCCUCCCUCGGAGGCUACUUCUCAGGGCUGGAAGUCCCGUCAGUUCUGCUGAAUACUAUGUCCCAGGUGUGUGAUGGCGGCUGCAAUCUGUCUUGUGGGUAUUAAUGCAAUCUUCAGUGGUGGCUACUGUUCUCUAGCUGUUCUACAAAACUGGAGCAUGCUGGCUUGAAAAAACCUUGCCCAGUUUUGAUCCCUUCAAGACUUUGCCACAGCCUCUAUCACACAUCUGUUUUUCUCGAAGAAAAAAUAUAAUAAAAAUGUUUUACGCUUUUACACUGUAAAA